GACAAUGUGGCGCGGCGUUAGUGAAAUUCUAUAGUUUAACUACAGUUAGUAUUCGGUGGUUAUUUUUUAACAACUCGUAAAAAACGGUUAUGGCGUUGAUUUUUAACAAUAACUCUUAGGCUAAUGUUUCCUUCUAAAUAAUCAAAAAAUUAAAAGCGAUAGUAUUGUAUACAGGGUUGUCAAAUUAUCUCUGUUUUAUUGUUUUAUGCUUUUGUUAAUAAUUACUAAAUGUAUACAGUUCAACAACUUAUGAAUGACAAAUACAUCGAUUUUAACGGUACAAUGAAAACCAAUCUAUUCAUAUAAAGUUUGAUCAAAGGAAAUCGCAUAACUUGAGUCGAUACUGACAUAUAUAAUCCACUGAAUAGACAUUUUGUUGUUUUGCCAAUAUCUUAAAUCUUACCUAAAUAAUGUCUUUAAUUUUGCAGGGUAAGAGAACGUAUAUCAUUUUUGUCAUACUUCAAUUAAUUUGAAUGAAUUUAAACCAUAUUGCUAACUUCUUUUCAUUAUUGACUAAAUUACACACGGGUGGUAAACGCGCAAUCCAAUUCCCACUGGGAAUACGCUAAAAAUGGGCUGCGCGACUUCCGGUGCUGGUGUUGCGCAUCAAUAUAUACAAAAUCGAGGAUUGUUAUUUAGCCAGCGAUGAAGAUCACCUAAGCUUACAAGAUGUGGCUGUCCAGUAAAUAUCAGCUGUAUGAAAGGCUAGAAAAGGCUAGAACAAAUACACUGUAUGAAAGGCUAAAACAAAUACACUGUAUGAAAGGCUAGAACAAAUACAAGGGGUAUAAGGUGUUAACUAUAUUUGUUGUCAUUUUUUUUUUAGAUAUGAAAAUAGUUCUUGACUUGAUUUCGGUGUGUAAAGGUAUUCAUCAGUGUGUCUUAUGGUUUACUAUUUUGUGUGUACUUUGUUAUUUUGGAAUAUUUCUGUGCGCUUAAAAGUAACUGUAGCGGGAAUACUUUACAUUUUGUAAUUGUAAGACAUUCUUAAAUGACAUUUAGAUAAAGGCAUUUAAUCAAAUGUCGGGUUUUCUCUAUCAUCGGAAAGCCAAAUUAUGUAGCAUAUCUUGUUACGCCAUCUUUUUAAAUAUUGUAUAUACACGGAUGAUAGAAUUAUCAUAUUUAAGUUAUGUUUGAAUGGCAGAGAGCAAUUACCUGUUGAUAUUUAUGAUAUUUUGACAACUGUUCACCCUGAGCAACACUUUCAUUUUAAGGUGUUGGGACAUAAUAUAUAUUUAGUUUAUUGUAUGCUUUUUAGAUAUAGAUGUGUGCUUGAUACAUAGACAAGAUCAUAACUGGUAUGAAAGAUAAUGUCGCGUGACAAUUUCUGUUUUCAUCAAAUUUAUGUUGUUGCAAUGCUUUCUUAUUUAUAUUUCGUUUUCUUAUACCUGAAACAUGUAGCUUCGUUUGGUUUCUUGAGGCUGUAAUGAGCAAUAGCUUGUAGAACAUACAAAGGGUUGUGUGUCUGUAUUAUGAGAACCCGAGAACAUACCUGUAAUAGCAGGUUACCAAUUUUGCCAACAAUAAAUGACAGUUGUUAAGUUGUCAUGGCUAUAUACUUUAUGUAUUCAGUGUUAUUGUUGUUGUUUUUUUAAAUUAGCGUAGUGAACAGUUUAUUACUGCAGACAUUGCUAAGAAAAUUACUUUUUUACGAUUGUAAGUAUUUAUACAGAAUGAUCUUCUUACCGAAUGUAUAAAUUUGUUUAUUAUUUUGUGUUUUUUCUGGUCAUUUGAACAUAAUUCAUUUUUGUAAUUAUUUAUCGACAGUGGUAUUUCCUGCUUACGUUUUAUUAGUUUUCACUAGUGUUACCUAUAGAACGUCAUAAACAUUUGUGUCAAAGACGUCUGAACAGAAAAUGUCAUUUAUUCCAUUAGCUGGAAAGCAGGAUAAGCUAUGUAAUGAACAACUCCCCAUGCAGCUAUGACGUGCCUUCAGUUGUAAUUGGCAUUCUUGCACCUAAAGCAGCACUCUUUUGUCAGAAUGAGUUUGAAUACUUUAAGUUUGUAAAUAAGAAUAAAAAUACAAAAUACCCUGAAUGUUUUGUGCCAUUAGUCAUGUGUGUCGAGUAUAAAACUGUAUAUAUUGUUUGUAACUGUUUGAAUAUGUGAUUAUUCCUGUUUAAGCUGUAUUUAAAUAUUGUUCCGACUUGUACUUGUGUGCUUUUGCCAUGUACUGUGAUAAACUGUUUAGAAAUAACCACUGUUUCCAUUCUCAAUAGUAAUAAUUCUGAUGGCCAUAAGAGGUGUUGAUGAUGUUUGAUUUUGUCAGCUUCUGGAUUCUGGAUUCAUAAGGACCAUCCAGCUUCAUCUACACUAACAGGAAAUUAACCCCCAGUGACUGAAAAUUGUUAUGCUAAAGUAUUUGCAAGAAAACGCAGUUUGUAUAGGUUUUACUGAAGUACCUUCCAACUGAAUUUCUUUUGUAAUUUAUAGAUUUUUUCUUUUGUUUGUGAUCAUCUUUAUUAAUAGACCUAAUUUCUUAGUUUCUUAAGAGGCCUAAUUAUUUAGUUUCAGUGGAAGCAGGUUGGGAAAAAAACGUUUGUACUGAAUUUUGAAUGGUUAUUUCUAUUCAUAUUAUAAUAUGUUAACGACAUCGGAUAUUGAAAUGUCACCAGAAGCUGCGAUUAGCUAUAUAAUAAACAACUCUCAAAACUCUCCAAGCAGCUGGGUCGUGCCUUAAGUUGUUAUUGGCACUCGUAAACCUAAAGCAGCAUACAAGUAUCGCCCUUGUGCCAGUUACAACAUUAGACCUGCGGUUAUCGUUUGACAUGUAUGUAGUACUCAUAUUUUGUUUAUACUUUUACAUAGUUAUUUCCGCUCUUAAAGGUGUGUUGAUUAGAGGUCUACCAUUGGUUGCUCAGUUCAUCAAUAGUAGUUGCUUUAAUUUUGGACAACAUUUCUAUCCGCUAUUAAUUUAGUACAUGAUAUUUUCUUUAUUUGAUAUGUUUCUGUAUUAUAUGAAAUUAUGCUUUCCUGUAUUAUAUAAAAUGUUUUUAUCUAGAGACUUUAUCAUAUUCAGAUUUUCUUUAUUCAGCGUUUUUUUUCAGUUAGUUUCAGUUAGUAACAGUUGAUUAUUACAUUAUUGCUAAGGUUUGUAAAUAAGACUGAAAAUGCACUGAACGUUAUUCGAUAUAAGUAGAGGUGUCGUUAUUUGUAGAAAUGUCAUUCUUUUGCUUAUUGUUCGCUGUAAGUUUUCAGAAAUAGCAGCACACAUUUUACUCUUCUGAUUGUUCAGCGUUUACCAGCUGAUUGGAAAUAGAGCUUAUUGGUUUUGUCCAUUGUUAUGAUAAAGCUCUGGAUGUUGUUGAGAGUAAUAUUUCUUAUGUCCAUAAGAGUUGAAGUUGCGUUGUUAUUUAGUGAUCAUUAUGUUGUGGUGAUGCUGGGUGUUGGCAUCUGAUUUGCUAGCUUCAUCUUACACUAACCUCUAGUGACUAAGAAUUUAUAUACCAAAGUUUUCAAAAGGAAACACUCUUAAUAUUCUUAUAAGAAGGUCGGGCUAGCUGAUGGUUUUCUUUACUGAAGUACCUUAAUCUUAAUCUGAUAGUGCAUGUACAAAAUAUCUAUGUUGGAAUAUUUUUUUAGUUUGUAGAUUUAAUCUUUUGUCUAUGAUCAUUUUUCCUGAGAGGCCUAAUUAUUUAGUUUAAUUGGAAGCAGAUAGGACUAUAACCUUUUGUACAGAUCUCUAUCAGCUGUUAAUUUAGUACCAGAUAUUUUCUUGUUUUGGUAUUUUUCUGUAUUAUAUAAAAUUAUACUUUGUUUUAUGAACCCAUAUUAUGCAAUAAUUAUUCAAUGUCUGCUUGCUUCACCACUAAGAAAAUGUUUUUAAUCAGAGGCUAUUGCAUAUUGAUUUCCUUAUUCACAUUUUUUUGUCAAAAGGAGUUUGAAUUAGUAACACUUGGUUAUUACAUUAUUACUGAGGUUUGUAAAUAAGAAUAAAAAUGCACAAGCUGAAGUUUGUAAAUAAGAACAAAAAUUCACUGAACGUUAUUCGAUUGUUUGCAGAGGUGACGUUUUUGUAUUAGUGUCAUUAUUAUGCUUAUUGUUCGCUUUGGUAGGAGAUUUUUGUGUCAACAGCCAUGUGUAGCGCGUAUAAAUGUUAUACAUUGUGUGUAACUGUUUGAGUGUGUGAAUGUUCCAGUUUGAACUGUAUUUGAAUAUUGUUUCGACAUCAUACAUAUACUACAUUCUGAGAGAUUUAUUUAGAAAUAACACUACAGAUGUCUUAACUGUUUCACUUCUGAUUGUAAAGCGUUUAACAGCUGAAGUUAGGUAUUUCUUGAAGCAGGAGUUUAUUUAUGUUGUCCAUUAUUAUGACAAAGCUCUUCAUGUUGUAGACAGUAAUAUUUCCAGUAGCUUUAUUCACUGAUCGUUAAGUGUUGGUAGUGUUAAAUGUAGUCAGCUUCUGGAUUAAUAAGGACCUACCAGCUUCGUCUUGCACUAACCCCAAGUGAUAAAGAAUCUGUAUGUCUAAUGAAUGGUUUCCUUUACCGAAAUACCUUACUACCUUUUUCUUACAGAUUACCCAUGUUUUAAUUACUUGUAAUUUGUAGAUAUAUAUUUUUUGUUUGUGAUUUAAAUCCUUCUUAAUUAAAAGGCCUAAUUUCUUAGUUUCUUCAGAGGCCUAAUGAUUUAGUUUCAUUUGAAGCAGGUUAGGACUAUUGCCUUUUGUACAGAAUUUUGAAUUGUUAUUUGCACUCAUAUACAUGUAUAAUUUUGUUCUAAAUCAUAAAAGCUAUAGUCAAAUUGUAUGGAUCGAUUUUUGACGACUAUUAGAUCUUUGAGAAUAGUUGCCUUAUAAUGUUAUUGUAAAAAGCACAUUAUUUGAGAGUUACCUCAGCUAUGUAAAGUUAAUGAUCCUGUUAAUUUUGUUGUGAUUAAAUAAGCUAUCACAUGCUAAUAUUUUGAUGCAGGAUAAGUUUAUCCAGUUACCAACACCUUCGAGAAGUUUGACACGGUUCCGAGCUCAGGUGCGUAUGAAUUGAGCCACGAAGGCUUUAGCCCGACAGGUUUAAUAUCUAACCAUCUGAACGAUGAACAGUGGUAAAUUAAACGAUAAACCACAAGAAAGCCUUGUGAAUUGUUUUCAUUCUUAUAUGCUGACGAAGAUGUUUUGAUAAACAUUAUGUUGUACUUCAUUUAUCAUUGUAGUCAUGAAUCGCACGUCAUAGUUGACGUCAUAAUGUUCUCUUACCGGUCCACUUUCAACCAUUGUUUAUCGCAGAAUAUACAGGGCUUGAUUUUCUUUGUUUAACUAGAAAUCAAAUCUAACCAUGUUAGAAUAUAUCUCUAAGCAACUUACUUCUGCUGUGCUUUCUCUGGAAUUAUCAAAGAAUUUUAUUUGAAUUUGAAACGAAUAUAAGGAUGUUGUAAUUCUUCAAAACUUCAAACUGUUGGAACUUUGUGUAUUUAUGUUAUAAAUACAUUUUUGCACUACUGUAAUAGUAAUAUUUCCUAUAAUAUUAAUAUUACGCUGUCGCACUACAUUCUUGAAUAAUUAAACGUAUUGUUUUAAGAGGUAUGAACAAAGAUAUUCUUCAACUUUGAAGGUCAGUUUUGCUGUCAUUUCAACAUUAUACGGAAGUGCUCAGAUUUGACUUUAGCUUGCGUAUUGAAUGGUUAUUAGAUAGGUUUAUUAUAAUUGUAUAUUGCAAAGCCAUGUACAAUAUGUAAGGAAAACGAAAAGCGCUGAAGUUUUUAUGAUGGAAUGACAUAAAAUGGACACAAGUCGUGUAUAUGGAUAUGCUAAGGGCACUACUUUUUUGUAAACUGAUGUUGUAACAAAUGACGUUUAUUCAAAACUUUGUUAUGCCUUAUAUACACGAAUAAAUACACUUUGAAGAAUG